CGUGUAGGCGGACUCGCAAGUCGGUUGUGAAAUCCCUGGGCUCAACCUAGGAACUGCAUCCGAAACUGCUUGUCUUGAGUAAUGGAGAGGGUGGCGGGAUUCCCGGUGUAGAGGUGAAAUUCGUAGAUAUCGGGAGGAACAUCAGUGGCGAAGGCGGCCACCUGGACAUUUACUGACGCUGAGACGCGAAAGCGUGGGGAGCAAACA
rnacentral:rRNA from 1 species